ACGAGGAUUACCAAACACUAGAUGACAAGACAGACCCCCAAAACCCAACAUACUAUAAGGAAGAUACUAACUAAAAAGUGCAACACAAAGAGUGGCUGUCCGGCAGAGUGUGACAGAAAGCUUAAAAUAAAUGUAAGGAGAUCUCAAUUAAAAUAAAAUGCAGCACGAGGAGCGAGGAGAGAACAUCAAACAUUGAGGAGGCUUGUCGGAAGAGCUAUAAGCGAGGACACCUUUGUAUCCUUUGCAAAAGUAUUUCAGCAGCCUUGAUGUUUAAAUGAGUCAUGACAUACAGAUGGAAUAUACAACCAUGGCGGGAGCAGUACAGCGUUCUUUAGUAUUCAUCAAGAGAGACGCUGCACACAAUAAUGCAAGAGACUUCAGGGACAACGUGUGUCUGAGGGAUGAUAUGAUUGACCCUAAAGCUGGAUAAAUAACAGGCUCACUCAGCAGUCCUCACUUAUUCGAGCAUACUGUGAGUCCUUCUGCAGAAGAUUUGAAUAAAAUUCACAGAAAGACGAGCUAUUUAUUUGAAAACUCGAAUUGCCAUCACAGCAUCACAAUAAGGAAAUCUCCUGGAAAGCUACUGUGACCGGUGGAGGUGGGACGAUAUGAUCUGUAGCCUGUAUGUAUCUCAUCUCAUUUCAUUAAAUGCCUGUUGCCUCGACCGCUCGCAUCUUUGGUGGGAGGGGCUACAAUGCAUGCGAGGAGUCGAGGAGGUACAAACUGAGAAAUGAGAAAGGCCUAAAAAGAGUGAAUGACAGGAAGUAAAAGUCAGAGCAGCAGCGGGAGAAGAAACCGACCAUUUUAGAGUCACUUCCUCGACAAGACAAAGUUUAAUGAAAAACCUUUUAUCAUGUCAAAACUCUUUAAAGAACUUCUAUCCAAACACUGCAGUUAAGUUAAAUCAAAUGACUAAAUGUUUUUUUUACUGAACUUUGAAGGUUGAAUGAUUAUGUCUUUCAAUUUAAUGACAACUUUCAUGAUGCUUUGAUGACAAUCAUGUCAACACUAUUUAUUUUAAAGGAUAUUUUAUAGGUUUAUUUCAAUAUAAGUUCAGUUUUAUUCCUAAGGUAGUUAGACCUGCAUGAAGAUUAAAAUUUUGCAAAUAGAGAUAAAGCAAACAGCUGUUUGAGACAGAGAGAGUAAAAUCUCGGCCUGAUAAUGUUUGAUUAAAUCUAACAGGAUGUAAAUAUUUCGGUAUAAACUACUGAGGCUGCUGGAAACUUUCUGUCUUCUGCUCUGAAACUCUUUUCAGACACAUAACUCAUCUCCAGCAGCCUGUUAACAGCGACAUUGAAACAAAGUCAACAAAUUGUCUCACCGCUUCUUGUUGAAUCCAAAAUACUUCCACACUUCUCAGGCGCUUUGAUGUCGUGAUCUUCAAGUUCAGCUCAGAUUUCAUCCAGGGCCUUCAGCAAAGAGAGGUCAGACCUCAGAGCUGCAGGAAUCACAAUGUGACUCAGCUGAGAGAGAGAGAGAGAAAACACACUUCCCUCCUCCUCUUAACUCGUCACAUAUAGACAUUGGUAAUGGGCGGGCUGGGUCAACAAAAAGGCAGAAGAAUGUGUCAUGUGGCUGUGGGUAUGCAGGAAUAAAGUUCUCUUUAUGUUUUUAUGCAACUACUGUACAUCCCAAAAUGAGCCAUGUAAUGGA